AGUGGAAUUGCUGGGUCAUGUGGUAAUUCUGUGUUUAACUUUUUGAGGAACAUCCAUAUUGUUUUUCACGGUGACUGCACCAUUUUACAUUCCCACCAGCAAU
rnacentral:pre_miRNA from 1 species